UACGGGGGGGGCAAGCGUUGUUCGGAAUUACUGGGCGUAAAGGGCCAGUAGGCGGCCAACUAAGUCGGAUGUGAAAUCCCCAGGCUUAACCUGGGAACUGCAUCCGAUACUGGAUGGCUUGAAUUCGGGAGAGGGAUGCAGAAUUCCAGGUGUAGCGGUGAAAUGCGUAGAUAUCUGGAGGAAUACCGGUGGCGAAGGCGGCAUCCUGGACCGACAUUGACGCUGAACGGCGAAAGCUAGGGGAG
rnacentral:rRNA from 1 species